GCUCCGCCUCUUUCCACAUUUGGCGCCAACAUACAGUUAAUUAGCAACAGUUAGCAAAAAUCGCUCACAAAAAUGGUUUAGUUAAAAUGCUUCGAGUAAAACUGUCCACUAUUACUCAACUUCGUGGAAAUGUGAAGGAACAUUUCACUAAAAGAGAAGGUAGGAGCAAUAACAGUGAAAUUCUCAUAAAAGGUGUCUAAAUACAGAAUAAGUGAUAAACAUAAAAUACAAAGAAAAAGACGGGACGGGAGAUCUUCGAGGCUUGAGUGCGUGCGCGACUGAUGGUGUGAAAAGAGGUUAACGAAGACAUUCCCGAAGUUGAACAGAACAGCAGCACUGACAACACUUCAGUGUCCAGCUGUGUGUCUUCUCGCACCGCUGUGCAGGAUGUUAAUGAAGACAUUCCCAAAGUUGAACAGAACAGAGACACUGAUAAAACUUCAAUGUACAGCUGGCACAACUGUGUGUCUUCCCUCACCGCUGUGCAGGAUGUUGAUAAAGACAUUCCCAGUGAAAAGCAAGGGGGCAUCAGCAAUCACAACAUCAGUACUUCUCCAACUGUGCCUAUGGUUUAUGACUGAGGAGAACAACAGCACUGCUUCGUCAUCAGACAUUUUCUGGAAGACUGAGGAGGAAAUUUUCCAUUUAAGUUUAAAGGGAAAUACAGGGGACAUCUUCCAGCACUAUGAAAUUGGUGGAAUGCAGGGUAAAGGAUCAUACGGAAAAGUCUUUGAAGAAACCCGUUUGUCUGAUUCAUGAAAGGUGGCAAUCAAAUAUGUGGUGAAGACAGAAGACAUGGAAAAUGUCAGUAUUGUGCUGGACUGGUUGGAGACACCAGAUGAAUACAUACUGGUCUUAGAGUGGCCCAUGACGUGAAGAUAUGCCGCGUUUUGUACUGCACAAUGUUAGUAGAAUCAGGGAGUCGACAGCACGAGUGGUGAUGCAUCAGGUUGUCACUACUGCAAGAAUAUGCUGUGAAAGGGAUGUCUUCCACAGCAACCAAAACAUCUUGCAGGUCAAAUUAGUAGACUUCGGCUGUAGUAGACGCUUGAAGAAGUCUGCCUAUUCAACAUACAGUGGCACAAGAGUGCCUGUCUUAGAAGGUACCACAGCAAGCCUGCAACAGUGUAUUAUUUAGGCGCACUGUUGUUCAUGAUGGUAUGAGGGCAGUCCCCUUUCAAGCAGCUUGCUAAGAUCGUUGCCAGACACUGAUACACAAAAUAACUUUUCAAAGAAUGCAUAGAUCUGAUCUGUUGCCUGGAAAGUGAUCCAUUCAAGCGGGUUGAUUUUGAGAAGAUCCUCCUCCAUAACUUGUUCCAGUUAAUGAUCCUGAACUAAAAAUGUUUGAAAAUAUGACUCCGUCAUGACCCGAUAGAGAAAAAUAGACCAGUAGAUAAAGAAAAACACUAAUAUGCCUAAAAAGAAAAAAAGCAACGAGAGGUAGAAAAACAUGCAUAUAAAAAAUCCAAAAAGUGAUUUGUCUGGUCUCCAAUGUGGAACAUAAUGAGAGAUGUUGGUGUGGUGGCUUAAAAGAUGCUGAUUCUGUCCUGUAUGUGCAUGGAGCUUAACCAGCAUCAGUUUGAUAAAUAUUAGACUCUCUAUGUGUAUGAAACAUGGGGCAAACAGAAUCCGAUGACUUCAGUCAAGCCAGCGGAAUCCGUUCCCCCACCCCCCUGAUGAGAGAUGUUGAUAUAGUGGCUUAAAAGAUGCUGAUUCUAUCUUGUGUAUGCAUGGAGCUUACCGAGCAUCAGUUUGAUAAAUAAUGUGUAAGAAACAUGGAGGGAACAGAAUCCAAUGACUACAGUCCAGCCGUUAGAAUCAGUUCUCCCACCCCCCUGAUUCUUUUUUUUUUUUUUUUUGUAGUGUGAGUUUGGUGGUGUAAUAAAACAAACAUCAUCACGUGUGUACCUUAUUCCCACCACUGCUUCCUGAUGGUUUAAAGAACAAUUACUCCUAGUUGCCCAUCGUUUUAAAGAAUAAUACAACAGAGAGAGUGUCAAGUAUAAACCCCUCGUCCGUUCAACAGUAUGCGUGCGCAGUCAGGGGAGGCGCGUGGUGCGGAGCCAGGCAAAAGUAAAGUAUACUUUAUACUUUACCUCAGCCUCCACUGACUGCACUCACAUCUCCCCAAACGGAUGAGGCGUUUAUACUUAAAUCAUCAAUCAAAAGCCUUCUUUUUUUCUUUAUGGGAAGGUCUAGGCUUGUGUUAAUUUGUGCCUCACUCGCAAUAUAUAGUCACAUUACAUUGUACAACACUUUAUGACAUUAUCUUAUCAAAAAUGCUGCUACCCCAAAUACUACACAACAAAUAAAAAUGCUGGCGGAGGCUGGCAACUUAAAAAGAAAAAAGAAAAAAGUUGGUGAGGAAAGAGUUGACAUGAGCUGUGAAAUCCACAGUGUGCCAAGAGUGACAUCUAGUAGUUAAAAUCAGUAAUUACACCCGAAGAGCUUUGUUUUUGUUUUUUUAUACAGGGAUCUUCUGUAUACUUCUGAGUUGAGAAAUGGAAAACUCUUGUGAAUGGCAGAAAAAUAUUUUGUAUUUUUCACACUUUGCAUUAUUGGUCCAAUGUGUAAACCAUAUGUAAGCAAUAUGAUUUAGGCACUAAAUCCAGCAUAAACUCAAUCUGCAUAUUUUUAAACUCCCCAGGACAGAGGUCACUGUCAUUUUCCUGCCAAACCUGCAUUUAGUUGUUAGAUUAAACAAUAUGAUUAUGUCUCAGAAAAGUAUGAGUAUGAGACUUAUGAGAGAUCCUGACAUUCACAAGAGCAGGGGCAUUGCUAGGAUCAGAAGAAAUCUCUCCUUAGUUGUUUUCACAGCAAUAUUUUUCUUUUCUGUCUCUACGUGCUAUAAACACAUGUAAUGUCUUCAGUUAAUGUCUGUAGACACUAUGGGAAAAACUCCUUUUUCUCUGAAUGUUGAAGCCUUAUUGAAUCACGCAGUGAAACUGCACAAGCCAUAUCAGUGCAGGAAUCUGCACGAACCCACUGGCUGAGCAGUGUAAUCUGCAUGAACCUAUGGGGUUUCUGCGGAUCUGCGUGAACCAACUGAAACAGGCGCUGCAGCCCGCCAGAAUGGGUGGAGCAUCCGUCUAUAUAACAGGCUCGUCUCGCUAUAGGAUUCAGAUUAACUCGAAUGAAGUGAUGAAUAGCACGGCCAGCUACAUAAUACUCGUUUCCGUUAUCUCAGGGAACAGGAUAUAUUAGUAACCGUUGUAUAUUCCCUUUCGAUAUGGUUCACUUGUAUUGUGUCAUUAGAUGCUAUGGGAACACAGUCAAAUCACAUAAUUCUAUGAUUGCAGAACGACAAACGUUCUAAGGCCCUAGCCUAAGACACUUAAGAUAAAGGCCUCAAAGGCAGUAGGGCUAAGUAAGGUCGAGGUACUCUCCCGACACUAAAAAAAAGGGUUCAGACCAUGGGUCGGAGCCUCAAGGGAAGGUAGUGGGUUGAGCUCAUACAGAGGUCAAAGCCCAAAUAAAUGGAGAGGACUUGUGCUUGUAGUGCAGGAACAUCCAAGUUGUAAAACCUGGUGAAGGUGGACGGCAAGGACCAGCUGGCCACCGCACAGAUGUCACCAAUGGAUACUCCACUGGACCACACCCAGGGAGAGGCCAUUCCUCUGGCGGAUUGUGCUCUUACAUUGAUGGGGCACUGGAGACCCAUCGCAGUGUAAGCCAACGCAACAGCGUCCACUAUCCAGCGGGAUAAUCUUUGCUUCGCGACCGGGUGCCCUUUGGUGUGGCUUCCAAAGCACACGAAGAGCUACUCUGACUGUCUGAAUUGUGCAGAAUGCUCAAUAUAAACUCUUAAGACCUGGACGGCAGAGUAAGUGUAAUUCUUGGUUGUCUUCUGAAAUGGGAAGAGUGGUCAGCGUGAAAACCUAUGCUGUGAAUGGAGCAGAGAGCACAUUAGGCACGUAGUCAUGCCUUGGUUUGAGUACAAAUUUGCAGUCUUUAGGCCCAAACUUAAGACAAGAUGCACUCACAGAGAGGGCUUGCAAGUCAGCCAUCUGCUUGACCAGUGCUAGUGCUAGCAGGAGGGUGGCCUUAAGUGAAAGUGGCCAUACCUCGGCCGACUGCAGCGGCUCUAAGGGGAGUCUUUUGGGGGCCCUAAGGACUGUCGACAGGUCCCAUGUUGGGAUGGUAAGAAGAUGAGGCGGGUUCAGCCUUAUGGCCCCCUUCAGAAAAUGAACAACCAGGUUGUUCCUGCCUAGAGACUGCCUGGCCACAGGAGUGUGGUAUACUGCCAUGGCCGCCAUGUAGACUUUGAGCGUGGAAGGGGUGCACCCUGUGUCCAUCAGCUCUUGUAGAAAUGACAGUAUGUUACAUAAAGUAGGGUCUUCAUUCCAGACUGCACACCAGUCAGAGAAAACAGACCACUUAAGGGCGUAGAGACGUCUAGUGGUUGGGAAUCUAGCCUCAGAAAUGGUGUUUAGGACUCUCGCUGGGAGGUCAGUGAGUUCCCAUCGAGGGGCCAUACAUGGUUAAGGGUGCCAAAUCUUUCCCUUCGCCUGGGAAAGGAGGUCCUUCCUCAGGGGAAUUGGCCAUGGAGCUGCUGCUAGCAGCUGCAUCAACUGAACAGAAAAACUCAGGUAGAUAUGUAGCUGCUUUUCCGUGCUCGACCAGGAGCCUGAAAUCGGCCUGCCCUUACAUAGAGCUCCCUAACCUGUGUUGGAAGCAUAUGUCAAGACCACCUUCUUCCUGGAGACCAUCCCCAUUGCAAGGUUCUGAGAGGGGGGAAGCCCCUAAUCUGAACAAUGCUGCGAGCUGCUGAAUUGACCGAGUGCACUCGGGUGUGAGCCUAGCCCUGGGCCGAGUUGAGAACUGCUUCAAGGAAGGCGAUUUGCUGGCUGGAAGAUGGUGAGCUCUUGGCUAAGUUGAUCCUGAGUCUCAGGCAUUCCAAAUGACUGAGGACUGACCCAGGCUGUCCAAAUUCCAGCUCAACACUCUGGGGAUGGCCUGCCAUGCCUCAAGUUGAGUGUCAAAUGGUUGAAGUGUUACAGGAUGCAACUCAUGCUAAGGCGGGAGGACAGCACCUGAUACAGCAUUGAGGGGAAAUAGGUAGCAUUUCGUCGAGUGGAGCCGUGGCUUGACUUCCGCUUUGGGUGGCGCUGAGGCCGGCCUGGGUCACUGCUGAGCCAAGUACCGGCAGUGAGGCGAGGGCAUCAGUCUUUGAUGAAUGUGGCUUGGCUUGGCGUGAAGACAAUAAACAUGACUGUGACAAUAUGUGGUCUAUCUGUGUUCUUCAAGCCAUCUUGGAUAUUUUCAAAAAAAAAAGUUAAUUUAUAAUGCAAUGCUAAUCGACAGCAUUACAGUAGAAUAUAUAAAAUUCAUAUUUUCAGCCUCAUUCUAUGAUAAAGAAGCCACAUCAGAUCACAAAAGGAAGUUAUUUCAAACACUCGACUGACGUUAUGAAGUGAGUUUGUAGUAAAAAUAUGUUGUUAAAUGUGUAUUUUGUUGGACAACAUGUUUACAAAUGCUUCUUAUUACACUGCAGUGUGCAUGAACUCACUGUCAGAGAGAAGACAGUGAAAAGGCACAGCUGGUAUCAGUGUAUCGAUACUGCGAAAAAACAGUAUUGAAAUAGUUUUAGUUAGAUAUUUCAGCAUCGAAAAGCAUUGAAAAAUCUAUAUUUUUGACAACACUACUGAGGUGUAGUAAGCUAGCCAACCAUCUCUGAUUUUACUACUAGUUAUAUAGCUUGUUCAAUUAGGAACUGACUUGACAAACACUAGAUAACAUUACAGUAACAGAUGUUUAUCAGUUACCUGUCACACAUAGUUUUAGUUUUGUUCAUGUUUCAUGUUUCCUGGUUUGCCAUGUGCUCCAAUGUCAUGUCAUUUGCUUAUCCUCAUGUCAUGUGCUUCCCUAGCCUCAUGUGUUGUAUUGUUAUUGGUUCAUUGGUUUGAUUGUGCACAGGUGUCCCUUGUUUUGUCAUUAGUCCCUGUGUAUACAUUGACCUCAUGUUUCCGCAGACUUUGUCAAGUAUUGUAAGACCGUCGGGUCCCGA